CCGACAUUUCCUCCCCCGCUGUCGUUUCGGGCUCCCGCUACGAAGGGGGCGACAUAGGCCGUUGAAGACGGGGGGGAAAGAAGGGUUUAAAAAAGAAAAAAAUUACUCGGUCUGCGCAGGCGCGAAUGCAUAUUGUAAAUUGAAUAAUGGAAGUUUAUUCCAUUAUUUGCUUGUAAAUCUGCCUGGAAUACACGUUGUUGAACUCUCAGCAAGCCUGCAAUGUAAAACAACCAACCUAGAGGAAGAAAUAACAACAACAAUAAUAAUAAGAGUUGAAAGGGACCUUGGAGGUCAUCUAGUCCAACCCCCUGCUCAAGCAGGAAACCCUAGAUCCUUUCAGACCAAUGGCUGUCCAGUCUCUUCUUGAAAACUUCCAGUGUUGGAGCAUUCACAGCUUCUGGAGGCAUAGCAGGAUAAAUAGCAGGAGGGAAAAGGAAAACUCAAGACUCCAUUACUAAAUAUGAGGUAUAAUGAGCAGCUAAAUUUUAAAUUAAGUAGUCCAAAGCCUGAGAAAGCCAUCAUCUUCAUAUCUUCUCAUGUAAUAAAGUGGAACUGAAUUUGUUUUCGCCCAA